CUCCGCCGCGGCGAGUCAGUCUCGGCCUCUCAGGCUUAUUUUUCGAAUCUGUACAGCGAAGAGACUGUGCUUGAUUUGCAACCUCUUCUACCUGUCCGCGGGCCAGACAUACCUUUGCCCUCAGCCACUGUCUCCUAUUCUCCGUCUUCGUUCCAAGCCUCCGGCUCUCCCAGGACGCCCUCUCCUGGUGCCCCUUGCCUUAUCUCACCGACCGUCACUUCCCCAGCCCGAGGUUGGCCCCUGCCGCUCCGCUUAGGGUGCGGAGCCUCUCAAAGCUCACCGUACGGCCUGCCUCGUUGUUGUGAAGGUUCAUGAGGAAGCGCAGGUCCCGCCCCUUCUCCCCGGAGUCCACGAACUCCCGGCCGAAGAGGCGGCCGAAGUCAAUGUUGUCGCUGCAGCCCCCCCAGUGCCAGUCGGGGCCCCCGGGGCCGCGCCGCCGGUAGUCACACGUGCAGGAUUCGAUGGAACCUUCUGAGCAGGAGCGCGCCACCGAAUGGGUGACCCCGGCGGAGGUGAUAGCGAAGAUAAACGCCGUUUCUCGACAGCCUGUGGGAGAAGGGAGCGGGGAUCAGCGAGAGGGUACGCGGGGCGCGGCCAGCACCCUCAUGAAGGGCUUGGGACCGGAAUCCCACCCCCGACUCCGCACUUUGAGUCCUGAGAGCCAGGGCCGGCAGUGCUGGAAAGCUGGUCUCUAGGGCUAGUAGAGAAAGCAGGUGCGUGGGCACGCAGCCACGUCCACGGGCGUAAUCACACCUUACUGGGAGAUUCUAGGGCGCAUUUUGGCUCGAUAGCGGAAGUGGAGCAGCCCCAGAGAGACAAACCGAAGAGAGGGGAGCGGAAGAACCAUACAUCCCCAAGACUUCUUCGCAGCCCAAAACUUUCGGCCCGUUUUGGCGAUGCAAGCCUUGCUGGGCGAGAGGCCAGACACACGCCUGCAGAGAGCAGCUUCCCAGGCGCUUUUGAGAGAGGCUGGGGGAAAGCGGCGGUCAGCCGGCGUCCGCGACCCGAAACUUUCUUUAUCUGGGGCAGUAGCUCAGAAAAGUUAAGCUCGUUUCCAGGGUGCACGGCUGGAAAACGCCUGGUAGAAGUCUGGCCCCGAGCUGGCUCUGGGCACGAGGCACUUGGCAAGGUUGAUUGUGUGACCCUCCAGGCGCCUGGGACACCUUCUCUGAACUCGCCCGCCCAUGCCCUGGGGGUGACCCCGCGUUUCCCCUGCUCCCGGAAGCGUCGCCUUCCUGGGCACCCACCUCGGUUGACGAUCUUGCCGAAGAGGUGGGGCCCUGGAGCAGUGGGACAGUUCCAGCGGCGAUUCCGGAACUGCCACUUGCACUCGCGCACGGCACUCUGCAGCCCCCCACUCACGCUGUGCAGGAUCCCCGGAUUUUGGCGUAUCAGACGCCGCUGUUUGCGGCUCAACAGCUGCAGACUGGGCUCGAGUACCAGUUGCAGACUCUUGGAGUCUGUAAGCAGGAUGCCUUCUGACUGAGAAAUUUCCCCAGGCCUGAACCUAAAGUCUCAAGUCCCAGAAAUGACUAGGAUUCCCUUCUAAGGCAGGGAAAUCACUCUAAGGAAUAAAUGCCAGAUGUAAGUUUGCUCGAUCUCCUGUCUCAGACUGCUGUGCCCGCUAUCCAACAGUGACCCCUGCAGCACGGGCAGGACCUCCAGCAGCACAGACUGGAGGCUGGCUGCCCAGCAGAGCUGCAACGCCACCACCAAGGAAGAGGUGACUGUGGUUACCAGGCUCUUUCCCGGCUGCCCUUGGGCUUGGCUCAAUUUUGGAUCCCAAGGCCCUCCUCAUCCCAUAAGAAGCAAGUCUACAGCUUGGAGCAGGAAUCCAGGCCACCCAAAGUGCAGACCGGGGGAAUCCCGAGAAGGGUAGGAUACCUCUGUUGGCAAGCAUCCCUGCCAGGCAAGGAAGCAUCGGGGCAGGCUGACAAUCUUUGGUGCUACCUGAACCUCUGCUAGGGCCAAACUCUGAGGCCAAAGCUGUCCCCUCCAAAGGGGCAGGCGCAGGGCUUGGAGGAGGGUGGGAACCAAGCUGCCCAGACCUGUGCUUCUCCUGCCCGCUCUGAGUACCCCGGGUGCGCUCAGGCUGUGGGUGCCACAUGUGACUGUCCCACACCGAGAAGCCCAAAGACUGUCUGGCUCCAUCCUCAUCUUCUCAAAGGCACCUUCCAGCCACCCUGAUCUUGGUGGAGAAACUGACGCAAAGAGAAGUGAUGAAAGAUGUGGCCAUUUGGGCCCCAUUCUGGCUCCCUAGGAAGGUUACUACACCCUCCCUGCAGCCUUGGCGACCCCAGAUCAGGUGAGAGGAACUCUGGCCACCUCCUUCUUCAGUGGGGCCAAGCCUGAACCCAGGCGUCGGGGGAGAGGGUGUGUGUGUGUGUG
rnacentral:lncRNA from 1 species